rnacentral:rRNA from 1 species
UUCGAAGCAACGCGAAGAACCUUACCAGGUCUUGACAUCCUUCGCUACUUCUAGAGAUAGAAGGUUGCCCUUCGGGGGACGAAGUGACAGGUGGUGCAUGGUUGUCGUCAGCUCGUGUCGUGAGAUGUUGGGUUAAGUCCCGCAACGAGCGCAACCCUUGAUCUUAGUUGCCAGCAUUCAGUUGGGCACUCUAAGGUGACUGCCGGUGACAAACCGGAGGAAGGUGGGGAUGACGUCAAAUCAUCAUGCCCCUUAUGACCUGGGCUACACACGUGCUACAAUGGAUGGUACAAAGGGCUGCAAGACUGCGAAGUCAAGCCAAUCCCAUAAAACCAUUCUCAGUUCGGAUUGCAGGCUGCAACUCGCCUGCAUGAAGCCGGAAUCGCUAGUAAUCGCGGAUCAUCAUGCCGCGGUGAAUACGUUCCCGGGCCUUGUACACA